rnacentral:rRNA from 1 species
ACGAGACCUUAACCUGCUAAAUAGCCAGGCUAGCUUUGGCUGGUCGCCGGCUUCUUAGAGGGACUAUCGGCUCAAGCCGAUGGAAGUUUGAGGCAAUAACAGGUUAACCUACACAGGCCUGUAACAGUGGGCCUCUCGAAAGAUAACCGCUAGUCUAGCGCCUUCACCUUCUUGGGGGAAGUCCCCCGCUGUCGGGAGAAGGC